rfam:Gossypium hirsutum cultivar TM-1 unplaced genomic scaffold scaffold445.1, whole genome shotgun sequence
UAUUAAAAAUUUCAUCUAUUUUUACUGUUAAAAACUAGUGUAGCUAAUGGAAUAAUCAAAUAAUUACACGUGACCAUGUGUACUUCAUUCUGACGUAUAGGAACUAGUUUUUAACAAUAGAAAUGGAUAAAAAUUUUAGUA